rnacentral:lncRNA from 1 species
GCUGGCUUUGAACUCACAUCCUUCUGUCUCAGCCUCCAGGCCUCUGGGGUUACAGGUGUGCCCGGCUAAUGUUGCAUUUUAAAAGGAAAUUUCAUAUCCCCUCAUCCUCCCCACCCCCCGGGCAUUAGAUCAGAUUUACUUGUGAACAUACAUAUAAUGACUUGGGAUUGAAUAGGCCAGAAGGUUCAAGACAAGUAAUAUUCCAUGGUGGUUUGGCAAAUGAAAAACAGGAAGUAUUGGGUGGGGUCAUUUUUAUCUUUCCAAUCAAGAAAGAACUGAUAGAGCUAAUUGGCACAUACCUGUGAUUCCAGCAAUUUGGGAAGUGGAAGUAGGAGGACCCAAAUUUGAGACCACCCUGGGUGACUUAGCAGAGACUCUUUCAACAUUUCAAAAAAAGGGCUGGAAAUGGUAACUCAGUGGUAGAGUGCCCCUCAGUUCAAUUCCCAGUAACUAGCAUACACAUAAACCUGAUAACUAUUAAAAAUCAGCUCUGUG